CCAUCACACUUUUCGAACAUCGAGGGAUGGCCGCAUCCUCCCUGCAGGCGCAAAUCAAGGCGGAAGCAGACACAUGGAUUUUAGCGGGGGCGAGACCACUAGCGCAGUUCUUAUCCAGAGAGUAAUCAUGAUAGGAAAAAGAAACCUUGUAUCUCUACCGUAAAAAUCUGUAACUACCUACUUUAUCAAUGAAAUAGGCACUAUCCCGUGCCAAUUUCUUUCAAAAAAAAAGGU
rnacentral:lncRNA from 1 species